GAGUUUGAACCUGGCUCAGGAUAAACGCUGGCGGCGCACAUAAGACAUGCAAGUCGAACGGACUUAACCGAAGUAUUUAUAUUUUGGAGCGGUUAGUGGCGGACUGGUGAGUAACACGUAAGCAACCUGCCUAUUAGAGGGGAAUAACAGUGAGAAAUCAUUGCUAAUACCGCAUAUGCUGUGAGUAUCGCAUGGUACAAACAGGUAAGGAGCAAUCCGCUAAUAGAUGGGCUUGCGUCUGAUUAGAUAGUUGGUGGGGUAAUGGCCUACCAAGUCGACGAUCAGUAGCCGAACUGAGAGGUUGAACGGCCACAUUGGGACUGAGAUACGGCCCAGACUCCUACGGGAGGCAGCAGUCGGGAAUAUUGCACAAUGGAGGAAACUCUGAUGCAGUGACGCCGCGUGCAGGAAGAAGGUUUUCGGAUUGUAAACUGCUUUAGAUAGGGAAGGAAAAAGACAGUACCUAUAGAAUAAGCUCCGGCUAACUACGUGCCAG
rnacentral:rRNA from 1 species